CAAAGGCACUCCUUCGAUAUAAAUGUGUUUUUUUUAACAAAAAUGAAAACGUGUCAGUGUAUCACUUUCACGAGGUUGGAGUAAGAACAUGUUCAACGAUUUAAGAAAUUGUCUCGAAUGUAAGUUGUUAAUUUUCUCCUAAUCUAAAGGCACAACUAAGGACGAAUUGUUUCACUUCUCUCAUUGACUUCUCAAACCCCAAACACCAGCAUGGUCUGUUUCACAAGCGUUCUCAUAAAUCUCGCGAUGUUACGCUUCUGGGUUUAGAAACUCUGUGAUGUCGUGCUUGUCGCAAAUUGAUGAACAAUGAAGCUAUCAUGUAACAUUGAUAAGAUUCCUGCAAAAUGAUCUGCUUUUCAUAGGCAAGUAUAUAAACAUGUUUUUUCCCCACUUUAUUUUUUACGAACUGGUUCAAUAAUCAUAUCCUGCUGGUGAGUCAACUGUUUAAUGUAGAAGGAUUGUUACUCAAUAAUGAGGAAUUUUUAACUUGUUACAAUAUCCCUGUAACACCUAGAGAGUUGGCCAUAGUUUUUGAUGCUAUUCCAUCUGGAACUCUCAUGUUAUUUAGAGGUGUAACCAGACCUCACCUUGUUGACAUACCCUCCUAGAGAGUUCUCCAUAGUCUCUGAUGCUAUUCCAUCUGGAACUCUCAUGUUAUUUAGAGGUGUAACCAGACCUCACCUUGUUGACCUUCCCUCCUAGAGAGUUCUCCAUAGUCUCUGAUGCUAUUCCAUCUGGAACUCUCAUGUUAUUUAGAGGUGUAACCAGACCUCACCUUGUUGACCUGUCCUCCUAGAGAGUUCUCCAUAGUCUCUGAUGCUAUUCCAUCUGGAACUCUCAUGUUAUUUAGAGGUGUAACCAGACCUCACCUUGUUGACCUGCCCUCCUAGAGAGUUCUCCAUAGUCUCUGAUGCUAUUCCAUCUGGAACUCUCAUGUUAUUUAGAUGUGUAGUCAGACCUCACCUUGUUGACCUACCCUCCUAGAGAGUUCUCCAUAGUCUCUGAUGCUAUUCCAUCUGGAACUCUCAUGUUAUUUAGAGGUGUAACCAGACCUCACCUUGUUGACCUGCCCUCCUAGAGAGUUCUCCAUAGUCUCUGAUGCUAUUCCAUCUGGAACUCUCAUGUUAUUUAGAUGUGUAGUCAGACCUCACCUUGUUGACCUACCCUCCUAGAGAGUUCUCCAUAGCCUCUGAUGCUAUUCCAUCUGGAACUCUCAUGUUAUUUAGAGGUGUAGCCAGACCUCACCUUGUUGACCUACCCUCCUAGAGAGUUCUCCAUAGCCUCUGAUGCUAUUCCAUCUGGAACUCUCAUGUUAUUUAGAGGUGUAACCAGACCUCACCUUGUUGACCUUCCCUCCUAGAGAGUUCUCCAUAGCCUCUGAUGCUAUUCCAUCUGGAACUCUCAUGUUAUUUAGAGGUGUAACCAGACCUCACCUUGUUGACCUUCCCUCCUAGAGAGUUCUCCAUAGCCUCUGAUGCUAUUCCAUCUGGAACUCUCAUGUUAUUUAGAGGUGUAACCAGACCUCACCUUGUUGACCUUCCCUCCUAGAGAGUUCUCCAUAGCCUCUGAUGCUAUUCCAUCUGGAACUCUCAUGUUAUUUAGAGGUGUAACCAGACCUCACCUUGUUGACCUGCCCUCCUAGAGAGUUCUCCAUAGUCUCUGAUGCUAUUCCAUCUGGAACUCUCAUGUUAUUUAGAGGUGUAACCAGACCUCACCUUGUUGACCUUCCCUCCUAGAGAGUUCUCCAUAGCCUCUGAUGCUAUUCCAUCUGGAACUCUCAUGUUAUUUAGAGGUGUAACCAGACCUCACCUUGUUGACCUUCCCUCCUAGAGAGUUCUCCAUAGCCUCUGAUGCUAUUCCAUCUGGAACUCUCAUGUUAUUUAGAGGUGUAACCAGACCUCACCUUGUUGACCUGCCCUCCUAGAGAGUUCUCCAUAGUCUCUGAUGCUAUUCCAUCUGGAACUCUCAUGUUAUUUAGAGAUGUAGCCAGACCUCACCUUGUUGACCUGCCCUCCUAGAGAGUUCUCCAUAGUCUCUGAUGCUAUUCCAUCUGGAACUCUCAUGUUAUUUAGAGAUGUAGCCAGACCUCACCUUGUUGACCUGCCCUCCUAGAGAGUUCUCCAUAGUCUCUGAUGCUAUUCCAUCUGGAACUCAUGUUAUUUAGAGGUGUAACCAGACCUCACCUUGUUGACAUACCCUCCUAGAGAGUUCUCCAUAGCCUCUGAUGCUAUUCCAUCUGGAACUCUCAUGUUAUUUAGAGGUGUAACCAGACCUCACCUUCUAGACCUACCCUCCUAGAGAGUUCUCCAUAGUCUCUGAUGCUAUUCCAUCUGGAACUCUCAUGUUAUUUAGAGGUGUAACCAGACCUCACCUUCUAGACCUACCCUCCUAGAGAGUUCUCCAUAGUCUCUGAUGCUAUUCCAUCUGGAAAUCUCAUGUUAUUUAGAGGUGCAGCCAGAUCUCACCUUGUUGACCUGUCCUCCUAGAGAGUUCUCCAUAGUCUCUGAUGCUAUUCCAUCUGGAACUCUCAUGUUAUUUAGAGGUGUAACCAGACCUCACCUUGUUGACAUACCCUCCUAGAGAGUUCUCCAUAGUCUCUGAUGCUAUUCCAUCUGGAACUCUCAUGUUAUUUAGAGGUGUAACCAGACCUCACCUUGUUGACCUGCCCUCCUAGAGAGUUCUCCAUAGUCUCUGAUGCUGUUCUAUCUGGAACUCUCAUGUUAUUUAGAGGUGUAGCCAGACCUCACCUUGUUGACCUUCCCUCCUUAAUCCAGUUGACUCUCCAAUAGGGAAAAUAUGUUUCUCUUCACUCCCUCAGAACAACAGAUCUAUACCUGCUUUAUUUCAAAGGGAGAUUGUAUCCAAUCCUUAUGUCACAACUUACUGGAAUACAUUGGUCACUAAUAUCUGUUGGGAAAAAGUCUGGUUAUUACCACACAAAUAUUUUCUUGUUAACAAGGUCAAAGAGGUCUCUUUCAGAAUGAUCCAUAAGUAUGACCCUGUCGAAUCAUUACCUGAAGAAACUCCAAAAAGACAUUAACAUUGAUUGUACUUUUUGUGUUGAGCAGCCAGAAACAGUUAAUUUAUUUUGGCAUUGUCUACAUUGUCUACGUUGUCUACAUGUAAAACAAUUAUGAAAAGAUAUUCACAGUUUUAUAAUUGUUAAUAUUCUUGAUGACUUUAGUUUUUUUAUGGGAGAAUAUGUUGCUCGGUUUUAAACUAUUUUAGCUCAUAAAUCUAAUUGUGCUAAUGGAAAAAUACAUGUAAAUUCACUAAUAAAAAAAACACUGUUCCGUCUUUUCUAUAAGGAAUUCGAGCAGUACAUUAAGACCUUAAGACUAUUCUACAUUCUUCUAAUCAGAAAGCUGUUAAAACAAUCGAUAUGUGUGUUCAUUUUAAGGUCUUUGUAUAAUCUGUCAUUUGUUCUACCCCGUAGCAUAUGUUAUCAUUGUCUAUUUAUGUAUACAGACUUUUCUACAUUGGUAAUAAACAUAACAACUUUUUUAUAUAUAUAUAUAUAUUAAAUAUAUUUUUUUAAAUUAAAUAAAAUGAAGCUAUCAUGUGAGAAGACUUCGUGCCAUGAUGCAAGUUCAUUUAUGGACAGACUGGGCAAAGAUUACAACGUACCAGUUGGUAUAUGUUGGAAAGGUUCUCAUCUCAGCCUCCAGUAUUUCUGCUGCAGUAGUUUGUGUCGGGGGGCUGGGGUCAGUUUGUUAUAUCUGGAGUACUUCUCCUGUCCUAUUCGGUGUCCUGUGUGAAUCUAAGUGUGCGUUCUCUAAUUCUCUCCUUCUCUCUUUAUUUCUCUCUCUCGGAUGACCUGAGCCCAAGGACCGUGCCCCAGGACUACCUGACAUGAUGACUCCUUGCUGUCCCCAGUCCACCUGGCCGUGCUGCUGCUCCAGUUUCAACUGACCGGAGCCCUAGGACCAUGUCCCAGGACUACCUGACAUGAUGACUCCUUGCUGUCCCCGGUCCACCUGGCCGUGCUGCUGCUCCAGUUUUAACUGUUCUGCCUUAUUAUUAUUCGACCAUGCUGGUCAUUUAUGAACAUUUGAACAUCUUGGCCAUGUUCUGUUAUAAUCUCCACCCGGCACAGCCAGAAGAGGACUGGCCACCCCACAUAGCCUGGUUCCUCUCUAGGUUUCUUCCUAGGUUUUGGCCUUUCUAGGGAGUUUUUCCUAGCCACCGUGCUUCUACACCUGCAUUGCUUGCUGUUUUGGGGUUUUAGGCUGGGUUUCUGUACAGCACUUUGAGAUAUCAGCUGAUGUACGAAGGGCUAUAUAAAUACAUUUGAUUUGAUUUGAUUUAGCGUCAUACCCAAGAAGACUUGAGGCUGUAAUCGCUGCCAAAGGUGCUUAAACAAAGUACUGAGUAAAGGGUCUGAAUACUUAUGUGAUAUUUCAGUUAAAGGAUUUAUAAAUUUGCUAAACAUUUCGAAAAACCUGUUUUUGCUUCGUCAUUAUGGGGUAUUGUCUGUAGAUUGAUGAGUAAAAACAACAAUUUAAUCCAUUUUAGAAUAAGACUGUAACGUAACAAAAUGUAUGAACAUAUCUAUCUACCUCAAUUACCUCGUACCCCUGCACAUCAACUCAGUACUGGUACCCCAUGUAUAUAGCCAAGUUAUUACCUCGUACCCCUGCACAUCGACUCAGUACUGGUACCCCAUGUAUAUAGCCAAGUUAUUACCUCGUACCCCUGCACAUCGACUCAGUACUGGUACCCCAUGUAUAUAGCCAAGUUAUUACCUCGUACCCCUGCACAUCGACUCAGUACUGGUAGCCCGUGUAUAUAGCCAAGUUAUUACCUCGUACCCCUGCACAUCGACUCAGUACUGGUAGCCCGUGUAUAUAGCCAAGUUAUUACCUCGUACCCCUGCACAUCGACUCAGUACUGGUACUGUAUAUAGCCAAGUUAUUACCUCGUACCCCUGCACAUCGACUCAGUACUGGUACCCCAUGUAUAUAGCCAAGUUAUUACCUCGUACCCCUGCACAUCGACUCAGUACUGGUACCCCAUGUAUAUAGCCAAGUUAUUACCUCGUACCCCUGCACAUCGACUCAGUACUGGUACCCCAUGUAUAUAGCCAAGUUAUUACCUCAUACCCCUGCACAUCGACUCAGUACUGGUACCCCAUGUAUAUAGCCAAGUUAUCGGUACUCAUUGUGAUUUGUAUUUUACAUUUUAGUCAGCAGAUGCUCUCUUAUCCAGAACGACUUAGAGGAUUUAAGUGCCUUUGCUCAAGGGCACAACUACACAUUUUUCACCUAGUCAGCUCUGGGAUUCAAACCAGUGACCUUUCGGUUACCAGUCAAAUUCUCUUAACCGCUACCUGCUCCUCGUGUUAUCAUUCAGAGAUCCUCACUGAACUUCUGGAGAGAGUUUGCUGCACUGAAAGUAAAGGGGCAGAAUAAUUUUGUACGCCCAAUUUUUCAGUUUUUUGAUUUGUUAAAAAAGUUUGAAAUAUCCAAUAAAUGUCAUUCCACUUCA